rnacentral:rRNA from 1 species
GACGAACGCUGGCGGCGUGCUUAACACAUGCAAGUCGAACGGAAAGGCCCUGCUUUUGUGGGGUGCUCGAGUGGCGAACGGGUGAGUAACACGUGAGUAACCUGCCCUUGACUUUGGGAUAACUUCAGGAAACUGGGGCUAAUACCGGAUAGGAGCUCCUGCUGCAUGGUGGGGGUUGGAAAGUUUCGGCGGUUGGGGAUGGACUCGCGGCUUAUCAGCUUGUUGGUGGGGUAGUGGCUUACCAAGGCUUUGACGGGUAGCCGGCCUGAGAGGGUGACCGGCCACAUUAGGACUGGGAUACGGCCCAGACUCCUACGGGAGGCAGCGGUGGAGAAUAUUACACAAUGGGCGGAAGCCUGAUGCAGCAACGCCGCGUGCGGGAUGACGGCCUUCGGGUUGUAAACCGCUUUCGCCUGUGACGAAGCGUGAGUGACGGUAAUGGGUAAAGAAGCACCGGCUAACUACGUG